rnacentral:rRNA from 1 species
GUCUAGGCCUAAAUACCAUAAAGACACCAAAUCCCAUCUGAUCUUAGAAGAUGAGAAGGGUCAGCCUCAGUUAGUACUUGGAUGGGAGUCUGCCAAUUAAUACCAGGUGGUGCAGGAU